UCUCUCGUUAAGGCCUUUCCGAAAACAUAAGUCUUGUCGGAUUUUGAACACAUUGACCAGAGGGCGUUUUCGUCCUUUAAAAUUUGACUUUAACCGUUUAAGCCUCUAAAAAUAUAGAAGUGGUUUACCCUAAGGGUUUUGACCAUUCUAAAUCCGUUUUUGUGUAGUUUGAGGCAAUCCGGAGACCCGAGAACGCAGUUUUGAUUUUUUUUUGGGAAGUGUGCUUGAAUUGUGAAUUUGAGAUACUGUCGUUGAGAACGAGGCUGGUAAUUGAAGACUUCGUGAGUGGAUUCUGUUGCUGAGGUGAGCCACCGCAUUGUUCCUGGAGGCAGCCAUUUCAGCUUUAUCUGGUUUAUUUCUAGUUAUUUCUUUUAUUUUGGGUUUACAUGCCCGACACUCAAACUCAUGUAACUCUGUUAGAUGCUCCAUGGUCUUAGCGUGGGAUGUGGGCUAGAGAUUCUUUUUAUCUUAGCGUUGGUUGAUUUUCAUAAAUCGAUUAUGGAUUUGGUUGGCGACUA